CCUACGGGAGGCAGCAGUGAGGAAUAUUGGUCAAUGGGCGGAAGCCUGAACCAGCCAAGCCGCGUGCAGGAUGACGGCCCUACGGGUUGUAAACUGCUUUUAUACGGGAAUAACGCGCCUUACGUGUAGGGCUUUGCAUGUACCUGAUGACUAAGGACCGGCUAAUUCCGUGCCAGCAGCCGCGGUAAUACGGAGGGUCCGGGCGUUAUCCGGAUUUAUUGGGUUUAAAGGGAGCGUAGGCGGCAUGUCAAGCGUGCGGUGAAAUGUCCGGGCUCAACCCGGGCCUUGCAGCGCGAACUGGCUGGCUUGAGUGCGCGAAAAGCAGGCGGAAUUCGUCGUGGAGCGGUGAAAUGCUUAGAUAUGACGAAGAACCCCGAUGGCGAAGGCAGCUUGCUGCAGCGGAACUGACGCUGAUGCUCGAAAGCGCGGGUAUCGAACAGGAUUAGAUACCCCAGUAGUC
rnacentral:rRNA from 1 species